rnacentral:rRNA from 1 species
GAUGAACGCUGGCGGCGUGCUUAACACAUGCAAGUCGAACGAAGCAAUUAUGAUUGAGAUUUCGGUUGAUUGAUUAAUUGACUUAGUGGCGGACGGGUGAGUAACGCGUGGGUAACCUGCCUCGUACAGGGGGAUAACAGUUAGAAAUGACUGCUAAUACCGCAUAACCCGCUAAGGUCGCAUGACCUGGACGGAAAAGAUUUAUCGGUACGAGAUGGACCCGCGUCUGAUUAGCUAGUUGGUGAGGUAACGGCUCACCAAGGCGACGAUCAGUAGCCGGCCUGAGAGGGUGAACGGCCACAUUGGGACUGAGACACGGCCCAAACUCCUACGGGAGGCAGCAGUGGGGAAUAUUGCACAAUGGGGGAAACCCUGAUGCAGCGACGCCGCGUGAGUGAAGAAGUAUUUCGGUAUGUAAGGCUCUAUCAGCAGGGAAGAAAAUGACGGUACCUGACUAAGAAGCCCCGGCUAACUACGUGCCAGCAGCCGCGGUAACAC